rnacentral:tRNA from 1 species
GGAGAGAUGUCCGAGCGGCUGAAGGAGCACGCCUGGAAAGCGUGUAUACGUUAAUAGCGUAUCGAGGGUUCGAAUCCCUCUCUCUCCGCCA